rnacentral:sRNA from 1 species
GCCGGGUGCAGCUGUGAACGCCUGUAAUCCCAGCAACUUGGGAGGCUGAGGCAGGAGGAUUGCAAGUUGGAGGCCAGCCUCAG